UUCCGGUUGAUCCUGCCGGAGGUUACUGCUAUCGAGGUUCGACUAAGCCAUGCGAGUCGAAUGUAGCAAUACAUGGCGAACUGCUCAGUAACACGUGGACAACCUGCCCUUAGGACGGGGAUAAACCCGGGAAACUGGGUAUAAUACCCGAUAGGUCUCGAUUGCUGGAAUGCAUCGAGAUUUAAAGCUCCGGCGCCUAAGGAUGGGUCUGCGGCCUAUCAGGUAGUAGUGGGUGUAGCGUACCUACUAGCCUACGACGGGUACGGGUUGUGAGAGCAAGAGCCCGGAGAUGGAUUCUGAGACACGAAUCCAGGCCCUACGGGGUGCAGCAGGCGCGAAAACUUUACAAUGCUGGCAACAGCGAUAAGGGAACCUCGAGUGCCAGGUUACAAAUCUGGCUGUCGAGAUGCCUAAAAAGCAUUUCAUAGCAAGGGCCGGGCAAGACCGGUGCCAGCCGCCGCGGUAACACCGGCGGCUCGAGUGGUAACCGUUAUUAUUGGGUCUAAAGGGUCUGUAGCCGGCCGGAUAAGUCUCUUGAGAAAUCUGGCAGCUUAACUGUCAGGCUUUCAGGAGAUACUGUCUGGCUCGAGGCCGGGAGAGGUGAGAGGUACUUCAGGGGUAGGGGUGAAAUCUUGUAAUCCUUGAAGGACCACCAGUGGCGAAGGCGUCUCACCAGAACGGACCUGACGGCAAGGGACGAAAGCUAGGGGCACGAACCGGAUUAGAUACCCGGGUAGUCCUAGCCGUAAACGAUACUCGCUAGGUGUCGGCCACGGUGCGACCGUUGUCGGUGCCGUAGGGAAGCCGUGAAGCGAGCCACCUGGGAAGUACGGCCGCAAGGCUGAAACUUAAAGGAAUUGGCGGGGGAGCACCACAACGGGCGGAGCUUGCGGUUUAAUUGGAUUCAACGCCGGG
rnacentral:rRNA from 1 species